AAUAUACUUUGUCUCAUUAAUUAAUUUUUUAGUUUCUAAUUAUCAUUUGUUAUGUUUUGUUAUAGAAUUAGAAUUUUGUGGCAUGUUAACAAAAUCACCUUUGAAAUUUACCUUGUCUCUAAUUCUUCAUACUACCUCUGUUUCAUAAAAAUCUUUGCGGUUACUAUUUACACAAAUAUUAAGAGAAAAGUAAAAUUAGCAUCUUAUAGUUCCGGACUACGCCGAUCCUUAGGGUAAAGGUAAAAGUUUUGAUUAGGGUGUCUGCUUUGGUAUUAAUUAGUUGCUUCGGCGAAUCUUAGGCUUUGUCACCGUUGGUUUGUGGCUUGCUUAAGGUUUCUUCCCUUCGAUGUUGGCUUGGUGGUUAAUUUUUUGUGUGCUAAUGCUUAGUUGUUUUAGUUUUCAAGAGGUCAUCAAUAAUGUGUGUUUUAGUUUUGUAGUUGGUUUUUUUGUAAGGUAUGAUAGUAAAGUCAUUUACUUCCUUGUGAUUAUGGGUUGGUAAGUUAGGAUAGUAAAGUCGUUUACUUCCCUGUGGUUAUGUGGUUGGUCAAUAAUUGGUUGUCUGUGGUGGCUUAACGCAGGGACUGUACGUAGUUUUGGUUUAGCGAAGAAGCUUUUAGGAGUAAGGAUCGUAGGGUGGCCACGAGUAUUGGUUGUCUUGUUUAGAUUUGUGAGGAGUUGUGAUCUCCUUACAUUCAAAAUUCUAUAUACGAAGACAACUCCCCAAAUGCAAAUUUGGGGUGUUCAGUGGGUUGAUUCUCUCUUGGUUAGAUGGGGGGAGUCAUAGAGUAUCCAUUCAAAAGGAUAUCGAGACACCUUUGGUUGCUCAUUGGGUUUGUGAGUUUGUGCUCACAAGGUCAUUUCAAACGUCUCGUGAUAUUUUGGUCCUUUUGUAUUUUUUUUCUUCGUCUUUUAAGUUGUAUAGGUUUAAAAGGGCUCUACUUAGUGCUCACAUGCUCAAGCCACAUUCCAGGUGGAGAAUAGAAUGGGGUGUGCAAGACGGCGCCAACAAUCAAGAGCCGACAAACAAGGCGACUACUAUCUUUGUAGUUUUUAAAGUUCCUUGUAAAUGUGGGUAAAAGCUUAUAGAGCUCAUGUAAUGUAAUAUGUAAACCUUUUCUUUAAUGUAUGCAUGUUAAGCUAAGUCGUUGUCAAAAAAACAUUAUCAUUUUUUUUCUCUCGUAUGGUUCCCACUUAAAUAAUUAAAAAAACGGAUUUUUCACCAAAUGCCCCUAAGGUUUACUUUAAUGCACCAAAUACCCCUAAACUUUCCAAAAUGCACCAAACACCCCUGACGUAUGCAAUAAUAUCAUUAAAUGCCCUUUUGUCUGACGGACGUUAACCCUCCGUUACCAUGUUUUUACCUUGUUGCCCUUACUUGUCCUUUCUGGCGCCAUAUCAAAAAAGAAAAAAAAAAAAAAAACAAAUUCAAAACCUAACUUCCCAACUUCUUCCUCGACAUUUCUCUCUGUUCUCUUACACCAUUAGAGAGCACUUGAGUACCAAACCAAAGAGAGAGAAAGAUCGAAAUUUGCUGGGAUUUGUGUAAAACAACUCGCAAUAGUUAGUCGAAGUAAAUCCCCACGAAAAGAUCGACAAUUUGGUCCAAAAAUCUGCAGUUUUCGCGAGUCCUACAAAAGUGGGUGCAAGGAGAGCAAAGGACUGGAAUUUGUGGCUUCAACUUCAUCAAAAUUGUGUCAAGGAUGGUCGCAAUUUGGUUGUUAUGUCAUUAUAAUGAUCGGAAUUUUGAUGUGAGGGUACAAGAUACUGAUGAAACGAACUACAUGGAUUUGGUUGAUGACUUGUUUGAUGAUUCUAUUAAGCAAGAUGUUCUGAUUCCCGAUUUAUUUAGAUUGUUUUAUGUUAAUCCUAGUACGAAUAAAAGAGUAGAAUUGUUGAA